UGAUUUUUUGAAAGCUAAGCGUAAAUUGAGGGAGGCAGAGUACAAAACAGAUUUAGAAAGUGAUGAUGCAGAUAAAGCAAAAAAAUUCCGAAAAAUAAAAGCUGCUAAAAUAAACUCGGAUUCUGAUGAUUCAAUUUUUGAAACUCAAAAAAUAACAACAAGUCUAAAAACUCCAUGUGCACCUCCUCAAUUAAAACUCUCAAAACAUAUCAGCAAUAACAAUGGGCUUAGAUCAAAAUAGUUAAAAUGCGGAGAAAAUAAUUUUAGCUACAAAGGUAAUUUAGACAUACUUCAGAAAAGCCCUGAUUUAGUUGAAGAAUCCUAUGAUAUUACAGAUACCUUUCUUGAAAAUAUAAAUGGUGAAGUGUUUCUAAGCUCUGCUCAGUCAGAAAGCAAUC